GGCCUCUGGGGUCCGCGCGCGCCGAACCGCGUCAGGCCCGGGAGGGAGCAGCGCUAAGGCGCGGCUCGCCUGCUGCCGGGAAAACGU
rnacentral:SRP_RNA from 2 species